UAUGGAAGUCUUGAAGAAGAAAAGCUAUCUUAAUGAAGGUUCUGUUAAUAUCAUUAUUUAUUAUAACUCAGUUAGCGGAUUAUAUUUUCGCGGAAGAAAAUUGCCUUGGCCGACCAAUUUUUCAGCUUUGCUCCGGCGGUUCCGAUAAAGGCAAUAAAUUAGGAAUAACAUGUAAAUUGAGAGCCAUGAAUCGAAUGUGGUAUUAUGGUUCGAGAAGAAAAACAUGCCUCAAAAUGAAAUAUCUGGGCUGUGGUGGAAAUAAUAAUCGCUAUUGUUCCAUGGAUCACUGUCUUCAAAGUUGUGCUCCCAAAUUAAACUCCAGCCCGAACACUGGCAAUUUAUGUAAUAUGUCAUAAAAAGCUUCAUUUAAAAUACAAUUUUUAACCAAAGAA